rnacentral:lncRNA from 1 species
AUCUAACCAUCUGUCUCAGGUAUAAGGAUAGUACCAGCUAAUGAAAAGAAAAGUACAUGAACUCUUGCUGCAAACAAUAAUUCUUUUCUAAUUUAAUUUUCUGAUUAUUUAUUAUUGUAUUUUUUUAAGGAAUGGCAUUAGCAGAUGAGUCAGGAUUGUGAUGAAGCCAUAUGGCCGUGUGAUUAUGUUGAAGCUGAGGAUAGAUACUCAAGGGAUCACAGGCUCUUCUACUUCUGAGAAUGAAGAAUGUGCACUGAUCCUAAUCAACGAAAGUAUAUAUCUACACUGAAAGCCAGGAGGUUGUCACAUAAAUGCAUUCACAUUCAUUUAUGUAUCAAGUGUAUUACUGUAUAAAAUUACCAGUCAGCACAGACUAGAGCUAUAAAGUAGAUCAGUGCUCAGAAGCAACCUGGGAAUUCAAGGUCCUCUCCUCCACAGCUUGAGCAGGGAGACCAGAUGUUUUCAGUCUCUGAUGUGAGUCAGGGGAAGCUCAGCAGCCCACCCUUUCAACAAGGACUCAAAAUCAGACACACACUGGUUUUAUUAUCUAAUUCUCAGUGUUUAUGGAAGAUGCAACUUCAUUUAAAAGGUCUGAAUGCCUCUUUUCUCUGUUGUUCAAGAGAUCAAUCAAACAGGUCCACACAGAUUUCAAGAACCUGAACCCAGCCUGAACACCAGAAUGUUAAGGGGAAACACUCAGAUGCUUUCAAUGGCAAAAGAAAAUUCAUAAACUACUUAUAAUGAGGAAGUGAUUGUUGGAAAUUGAGUUUUCUGUUCUUGUGCUUUACUGGUAUUCAGCUGUUCAAAGUGAUAGCAAAUAUUCUAUUGGUUAACAUUUAACCCAAACUAAUAGGUCCAAUCUCACAUUCUCAAAUAAAUCAUAAUGUCUUUUCA